rnacentral:rRNA from 1 species
GACGGAGGAUGCAAGCGUUAUCCGGAAUGAUUGGGCGUAAAGCGUCCGCAGGUGGCAGUUCAAGUCUGCUGUCAAAGACCGGGGCUUAACUUCGGAAAGGCAGUGGAAACUGAACAGCUAGAGUAUGGUAGGGGCAGAGGGAAUUCCUGGUGUAGCGGUGAAAUUCGUAGAUAUCGGGAGGAACACCAGCGGCGAAGGCGGCGACCUGGGUAGAUACUGACGCUGAGGUGCGAAAGCGUGGGGAGCAAACAGG